GUCAGGAUGGCCCAGCAGUCUAAGGUGCUGUGUUCAGGUCGUAGUCUCCCCUGGAGGCGUGGGUUCAAAUCCCACUCCUGACA
rnacentral:tRNA from 1 species